rnacentral:rRNA from 1 species
UACGGAAGGCAGCAGUGGGGAAUAUUGCACAAUGGGCGCAAGCCUGAUGCAGCCAUGCCGCGUGUAUGAAGAAGGCCUUCGGGUUGUAAAGUACUUUCAGUCGUGAGGAAGGUGUUAAGGUUAAUAACCUUAGCAAUUGACGUUAGCGACAGAAGAAGCACCGGCUAACUCCGUGCCAGCAGCCGCGGUAAUACGGAGGGUGCGAGCGUUAAUCGGAAUUACUGGGCGUAAAGGGCACGCAGGCGGUUAAUUAAGUUGGAUGUGAAAUCCCCGGGCUUAACCUGGGAAUGGCAUUCAAGACUGGUUAGCUAGAGUCUUGUAGAGGGGGUAGAAUUCCAUGUGUAGCGGUGAAAUGCGUAGAGAUGUGGAGGAUACCGGUGCGAAGGCGGCCCUGGACAAGCUGACGCUCAUGUGCGAAAGCGUGGGGAGCAAACGAGGAUUAGAUACC